rnacentral:sRNA from 1 species
UAUCGCGCUUUUAAAAUACACACACGUUCCGUCACAUACGAUAGGGUCCCUUGGGGUUUCGUAUGGGGGAUGUGGAGGCUUAAC